UACGGGGGGGGCAAGCGUUGUUCGGAAUUACUGGGCGUAAAGGGCUCGUAGGUGGCCAACUAAGUCAGACGUGAAAUCCCUCGGCUUAACCGGGGAACUGCGUCUGAUACUGGAUGGCUUGAGAUUGGGAGAGGGAUGCGGAAUUCCAGGUGUAGCGGUGAAAUGCGUAGAUAUCUGGAGGAACACCGGUGGCGAAGGCGGCAUCCUGGACGGUAACUGACGCUGAGACGCGAAAGCGUGGGGAGCAAACAGG
rnacentral:rRNA from 1 species